AAUCCAAUGAAAGGUGGGAUAUCCAUAUUGGGUCCCAUCAUAUCAUCGCCUUGGAUCAGUACCGCGGGCCAGGCAGAUUGAAACGGAAAGCACGGAAGGGCCCGCACGCUGUACAAUCUCUCGGUCGUCGUCGCUACAGUAGCUUCAGUGGGAGCAGGAAGAGUUAUAAUACUAACGAUAACAGAUGGGAAGGAUAGAUAUGGCGUGCCUCACCCUUAGCCCCUCCUUCUCCUUUCUCUCCUCCUUUCCCCAUCCGCUUUCUGUUUGUUCUCCGUGUCAUCAACGUCCUCACCAUCACCAUCACCUCAAGCUCCAGCUCCAGCUCCAGCUCCAUCUCCAUCAGAAAUGCAGACGGUCCUCUUACAUUCCUCUCCACUGCACACGUAUCGCCUCCUCCUCUCCUAUUCCAAAUGCAGACGGUCACAGAACUGGUACCGAGUUUGUGGAGAGGCUCCGUACAUGGAUCGUUCUCUUUCUCUCAUUCAUGCCUGGUGGACGCUGGUGGAGGUUCCCCGACCAUGCUCCAGGGGAAGAGGAAGGUGCAGAGAAGAAGAUGGCGGUGACUGUGCCAUUCGCGUUGCAUCGGAUGUGGCAGCUGGUUGCGAAUGAUCGAUGGGUCAUCUUUGCUGGCUUCAUUUCCCUUAUUCUUGCAGCGCUUUCAGAGAUCUCAAUACCUCAUUUCUUGGCAGCCUCUAUUUUUUCUGCACAAAGUGCGGAAACAUUGAUAUUCCAAAGAAAUACGAGGAUCUUGGUUUUGUUGUGUUGCGCUUCUGGAAUAUGCAGUGGCUUACGGGGUUGCUGUUUUGGCAUUGCAAACAUGAUCCUGGUUAUGCGUAUGCGGGAAAAGUUAUAUUCAGCACUCUUAUUACAGGAUAUAUCCUUUUUCGAUACAGAAACGGUUGGUGAUCUGACAAGUAGGCUUGGAGCAGAUUGUCAGCAAGUAUCUCGUGUUAUUGGAAAUGAUCUUAAUUUGAUAUCACGCAAUGCCCUUCAGGGAACAGGUGCAUUAAUAUAUUUGUUUACGUUAUCCUGGCCACUUGCACUAUCUACAGUGUUGAUAUGCUCUGCCUUGUCCACAGUCAUGUUCUUUUAUGGCCAGUACCAGAAGAGAGCAGCGAAGUUAACACAAGAAUUCACUGCUUGUGCCAAUGAAGUUGCUCAAGAGGCGUUUUCCUUGAUGAGGACGGUUCGAGUUUAUGGAACAGAGAAGCAAGAAUGUGGAAGAUACAUGCAAUGGUUGAAGAAAUUAGCUGAUAUAAGCUUGCGUCAAAGCAUGGCUUAUGGAUUUUGGACCCUAAGCUUCAAUACCCUUUAUCAUGCUACCCAGGUUAUUGCAGUGCUGGUAGGAGGAAUAUUUAUUAUGGGUGGUCAUAUAACAGUCGAGAAGCUUACAAAGUUCAUAUUGUACUCUGAAUGGUUGAUUUAUUCGACAUGGUUUGUGGGUGAUAAUUGGUCAUCCUUAAUGCAAUCCAUUGGAGCAAGUGAAAAGGUUUUUCAAUUAAUGGAUCUCCUUCCUAGCAAACAAUUCUUAUUACAAGGACUCAAGUUGCAGACGGUGAUUGGGCAUAUUGAGUUUGUGAAUGUCUCUUUUCAUUAUCCUUCUAGGAUAACGGUACCUGUUCUACAACAUUUAAACAUAUCUUUGCAUCCGAAGGAAGUUGUUGCCAUUGUUGGCAGUAAUGGCAGUGGGAAAAGCACACUAGUUCAUCUUCUUCUUCGUCUGUAUGAACCAACAUCUGGUCAGAUCUUUAUUGAUGGUUCCCCUCUUGAAGAGUUGGACAUUAAGUGGCUGAGAGAGAAUAUCGGAUUCGUGGGACAGGAACCUCGUCUUUUCCGGAUGGAUGUUAGCUCAAAUAUAAGAUAUGGAUGCACCAGGGAAAUCAGUCAAGAAGAUGUGGAAUGGGCUGCUAAGCAGGCAUAUGCUCAUGAUUUUAUUUUAUCUCUUCCCAAUGGUUAUGAAACAUUGGUUGACAAUGACCUGCUUAGCGGGGGACAAAAGCAGCGUAUUGCCAUUGCCAGAGCUAUUCUUAGGGACCCUGCUAUUUUGAUUUUUGAUGAAGCCACCAGUGCACUAGAUGCCGAUAGCGAACAUUAUGUGAAGCAAGUUCUUCAUUCAGUUAGGCAUGGGUCUAAGGAAAAGAGGACUGUAAUAGUCAUUGCACAUAGGCUAUCCACAAUACAAGCUGCUGACAGAAUUGUUGUAAUGGACAGUGGUAGAAUUGUUCAGAUGGGCGAUCACAAGGAGCUUCUAAGCAAGGAUGGUCUGUAUGCACAAUUGACAAAAAGACAAACAGAUGGAUUGUUAUCUUGAAUUGAGUGGAUUGAUAGGUCAAACUGAUCUUUCUUCGCGGUCUAGCCCUCUUGAGUGUAAUUGAAGCAGUUUCAAGUGAUGAACAUGCCCAAUUUACAAUGAAAUUUACAAAAGAGUUUCAUUUUUUUAAAAUCAGGUUUUCUCUACAAAUAUGAGAAUGAAGAAUGGGCCCUAGAUCCAUAUUACAUACCAUUCUAUUUGGAGUUGAAGAAGUGUCUCCCUCUACGAGAAGAGGAGAUAUGGCUGAUGCACCCACACAAGGGUAUUUGGGGCUUCCUCUUCACUAGCCAUCUAUAAAACAAAGUUCUUGAUAUGUUAAAAUCUUCACUACACUGCUCUAUAGAAUUGCAGGAUGUAAUGCUUACCUAUACCUAAACGGGCAUACUUACCUAAUUGUCUAAAUCAGUCACUCAUUCAAAGUUGGAUAGAUUGUAAUGCCUUCAUUUUUCAAUUUAAAUGCCAUAUCAAAAUUUCAGUAGCA